rnacentral:rRNA from 1 species
UACGUAGGGGGCGAGCGUUAAUCGGAAUUACUGGGCGUAAAGCGUGCGCAGGCGGUUCGUUAAGUCAGAUGUGAAAGCCCCGGGCUCAACCUGGGAACUGCAUUUGAAACUGGCGGGCUUGAGUAUGGCAGAGGGGGGUGGAAUUCCGCGUGUAGCAGUGAAAUGCGUAGAGAUGCGGAGGAACACCGAUGGCGAAGGCAGCCCGCUGGGCCAAUACUGACGCUCAGGCACGAAAGCGUGGGGAGCAAACAGG